rnacentral:rRNA from 1 species
UUCGCAAUGCCCGAAAGGGUGACGAAGCGACGCCGCGUGAGUGAGGAAGGCCUUCGGGCUGUAAAGCUCUGUCAGGAGUUAAGAAAUGUAAGUGUGUUAAUACCACAUUUAUUUGACGAAAGCUCCAAAGGAAGCCACGGCUAACUCUGUGCCAGCAGCCGCGGUAAUACAGAGGUGGCAAGCGUUGUUCGGAAUUAUUGGGCGUAAAGAGCACGUAGGUGGGUUUGUAAGUCAGAUGUGAAAGCCUUCUGUUCAACAGAAGAAUUGCAUCUGAAACUGCGAGUCUUGAGUGUAGGAGGGGAGAAUGGAACUUCUGGUGGAGCGGUGAAAUGCGUAGAUAUCAGAAGGAACGCCGGCGGCGAAAGCGAUUCUCUGGCCUAUUACUGACACUCAGUGUGCGAAAGCUAGGGGAGCAAACGGGAUUAGAUACCCCGGUAGUCCUAGCCGUAAACGAUGGGCACUAAGUAGAGGGGUUUU